rnacentral:rRNA from 1 species
GUCCUAAGGUAGCGAAAUUCCUUGUCGGGUAAGUUCCGACCUGCACGAAUGGCGUAACGAUGGCCACACUGUCUCCUCCCGAGACUCAGCGAAGUUGAAGUGUUUGUGAUGAUGCAAUCUCCCCGCGGCUAGACGGAAAGACCCCAUGAACCUUUACUGUAGCUUUGCAUUGGACUUUGAACCGGUCUGUGUAGGAUAGGUGGGAGGCUGUGAAGCGUGAACGCCAGUUUGCGUGGAGCCAUCCUUGAAAUACCACCCUGAUCUGUUUGAGGUUCUAACCCUGGUCCGUGAAUCCGGAUCGGGGACAGUGCAUGGUAGGCAGUUUGACUGGGGCGGUCUCCUCCCAAAGUGUAACGGAGGAGUACGAAGGUACGCUAGGUACGGUCGGAAAUCGUGCUGAUAGUGCAAUGGCAUAAGCGUGCUUAACUGCGAGACCGACAAGUCGAGCAGGUGCGAAAGCAGGUCAUAGUGAUCCGGUGGUUCUGUAUGGAAGGGCCAUCGCUCAACGGAUAAAAGGUACUCUGGGGAUAACAGGCUGAUACCGCCCAAGAGUUCAUAUCGACGGCGGUGUUUGGCACCUCGAUGUCGGCUCAUCUCAUCCUGGGGCUGUAGCCGGUCCCAAGGGUAUGGCUGUUCGCCAUUUAAAGAGGUACGUGAGCUGGGUUUAAAACGUCGUGAGACAGUUUGGUCCCUAUCUGCCGUGGGCGCUGGAUAUUUGAAGGGGGCUGCUCCUAGUACGAGAGGACCGGAGUGGACGAACCUCUGGUGUACCGGUUGUCACGCCAGUGGCAUCGCCGGGUAGCUAUGUUCGGAAGAGAUAACCGCUGAAAGCAUCUAAGCGGGAAACUCGCCUUAAGAUGAGAUAUCCCCGGGGCUUUAAGCCCCUUGAAGGGUCGUUCAAGACCAGGACGUUGAUAGGUCAGGUGUGUAAGCGCAGUAAUGCGUUCAGCUAACUGAUACUAAUUGCCCGUAAGGCUUGAUCCUAUAACAG